AGUAGCUGGGAUUACAGCCGUGAGCCACUGCGCCUGGCCGGCUGUCUCAAAGCUUUCUUAAUUAUUUAUUUGAAUUCAGUGUCUAAAUAGACUUAUGAUGAGGUAUCUAAAAGGACGGUUUAAAAUUCAGUUCUUCCUUAUUCCUUCUCACAAAUCUCUUCAACGUUACAGAAUCAGUAGGGUCAAAAUUAGAAUAGCCCGAGAAGCUCAAUUUAAAAAAAAAAUUAGAGCGAUAUUUGAACUUUAGUAAUAUAUGGUUUCUAUUGAAAUAUUUGAAACUCUAGAUAAUGUUAACUGUAUGAUGUUCCCACCUAGUGUUAAUAUAUGAAUUAUUUCUUUAACAGUUUUCAGGAAAUGCCUUUGUUAAGUAUUGGUAAUUUAAUAAUAUUCCAUUCUCAUAGUAUACAGAAGUUUUGUUAUUUCUAGUUUUUAUGGUAUUUAGUGAUUAUGUGGUAUUUAAAUAAUAAACAGUGGUGAAUUUAACAGAUCAAGAGUUCAUUUAAUUGUAUUACAGUUUUUAUCCUCAUCUGGAAAUAUUUCUCUGGCCAGUUCAUUUUUCCCUUGAUCUCUUAGUCCCUGUGAUUCAGGAAAUUGAAUUAAUGAAUGUAUGGUCAAUACUACUGACUAGGAUGCUUUCAAUAACAUAGUUUAAAAUGUAAAGUCACACUUAUAGCUAGAAUGAUGAAACAAAACUUUUCUCCUUAAUUAAAGAUUUACAUUGUUAAGAAAUAGUUUCUGGCUUCACUUAGGUAGGUCCUGCUGCGUUGACCGCCGGUAUCCCGCUGGUGGUCUUGGAGACCGGCGUUGGUUGAAAAUCACCCCCCGGCUUUGGCCGUGGCCGCGGGACACUGGUCCUCCCACGCCUGAGACUGACGUCGCCAGGACCACGGGGUCGGGGGGACUCGGCUGUCUCCCGUCUUUCAAAUAAAGCUGUUUGCCUAACUCA